rnacentral:lncRNA from 1 species
AAAAAUAAAAGGCAACGAUGGCAUCUGAUCAAUAACAAUGUACUAUCUGUAACCUGUACUGGUGUGGAGAAAAUGAUUACAGGAAAUAAAUAAACAACAUAAAAAAUAAAAAGCUGACAAGAGUGGUCUCGUCCACACAUCCCAUAGAGGUGAGGUAAAAAAAGUCCCCAACGAGCAAGCCUCCCGCCCACAUCUGCGUGCGCACGCCUCUCUCUUCUCGAAGCUUCUCUUCGCUUCUGCAACCCAUGCACGGCGGCUGGCCGAGCUGGGAGGAAGCGUCGAGACUCGAGAG